ensembl:lncRNA
GUCGUUGGGAACCAACGAUUUAGAAGAGCUGUGAGAAUCGAAGGGGGCUGUUACCCACUAAGAACAGCCUCACAACACUACAUAGCUUCCAUCAUGAACCAGGGAAAUUAAAAGAAAAACAUUUCCUGGCCACCUCGUUUGAGGAGCGGUUUUCUCAACAGCUCAGAUUCAGUAUCCAUUGCUCUACCUGGCCCUCGCUUCCUCCACUGCAGCUAACCUGGAACCAUCAUCAACCUGGAUAUGAAUUGAUCAUUAAUAAAAGGACUGGUGUAUCAAGGACCUACUCAUGAGGCUAACAAUCCCCGACUGACUUGUAUCUACUGGUGCCGUCUACUUUUGCUGUGGCAUCCUCGUCUCCAUGGCGGGUCACUGUACAGCCUGGCAGCAGCACUAGCAUAGGUGCCUGGGUAGCACCUAUACUGAAUAAGUCGGUUCAUCUUCUAAAUGUGGCUACGUCCAACACAAAGACCUACUGUAUCCAACACCUUGAAGUUGUUGUGCUAUCUACUCUUUCUCUGUUCUGUUUAUUGCUCACAUCAACCUUUCCUGUCACUGUCAGGCUGUGUGUGUGGGGUGGG